AUUGAACGCUGGCGGCAGGCUUAACACAUGCAAGUCGAGCGGGGUGAUGGUGCUUGCACUAUCACUUAGCGGCGGACGGGUGAGUAAUGCUUAGGAAUCUGCCUAUUAGUGGGGGACAACAUCUCGAAAGGGAUGCUAAUACCGCAUACGUCCUACGGGAGAAAGCAGGGGAUCACUUGUGACCUUGCGCUAAUAGAUGAGCCUAAGUCGGAUUAGCUAGUUGGUGGGGUAAAGGCCCACCAAGGCGACGAUCUGUAGCGGGUCUGAGAGGAUGAUCCGCCACACUGGGACUGAGACACGGCCCAGACUCCUACGGGAGGCAGCAGUGGGGAAUAUUGGACGAUGGGGGGAACCCUGAUCCAGCCAUGCCGCGUGUGUGAAGAAGGCCUUAUGGUUGUAAAGCACUUUAAGCGAGGAGGAGGCUCUUUUGGUUAAUACCCAAGAUGAGUGGACGUUACUCGCAGAAUAAGCACCGGCUAACUCUGUGCCAGCAGCCGCAGUAA
rnacentral:rRNA from 1 species